GGASSGUGCAAGCGUUAUCCGGAUUCACUGGGUUUAAAGGGAGCGCAGGCGGAUUUGUAAGUCAGUGGUGAAAGGCUUAAGCUUAACUUGGGAACUGCCAUUGAUACUAUAAGUCUUGAAUGUUGUUGAGGUUUGCGGAAUGGGUCAUGUAGCGGUGAAAUGCAUAGAUAUGACCCGGAACACCUAUUGCGAAGGCAGCAGGCUAAACAAAUAUUGACGCUGAGGCUCGAAAGCGUGGGGAUCAAACAGGAUUAGAUACCCUGGUAGUCCACGCCCUAAACUAUGAUUACUCGACAUACGCGAUACACUGUGUGUGUCUGAGCGAAAGCAUUAAGUAAUCCACCUGGGAAGUACGACCGCAAGGUUG
rnacentral:rRNA from 1 species